UACGUAGGGGGCAAGCGUUGUCCGGAAUCAUUGGGCGUAAAGAGCGUGUAGGCGGCCAGAAAAGUCCGCUGUGAAAACUCGAGGCUCAACUUCGAGCUGUCGGUGGAAACUUUCUGGCUAGAGUCCGGAAGAGGAGAAUGGAAUUCCUGGUGUAGCGGUGAAAUGCGCAGAUAUCAGGAAGAACACCCGUGGCGAAGGCGGUUCUCUGGGCCGUAACUGACGCUGAGGAGCGAAAGCGUGGGGAGCGAACAGG
rnacentral:rRNA from 1 species